UGAGUAAAGCAUCGGAACGUGCCCUGGAGUGGGGGAUAACGUAGCGAAAGUUACGCUAAUACCGCAUAUUCUGUGAGCAGGAAAGCAGGGGAUCGCAAGACCUUGCGCUCUGGGAGCGGCCGAUGUCGGAUUAGCUAGUUGGUGGGUAAAGGCCUACCAAGGCGACGAUCCGUAGCGGGUCUGAGAGGAUGAUCCGCCACACUGGGACUGAGACACGGCCCAGACUCCUACGGGAGGCAGCAGUGGGGAAUUUUGGACAAUGGGCGAAAGCCUGAUCCAGCCAUGCCGCGUGAGUGAAGAAGGCCUUCGGGUUGUAAAGCUCUUUCGGUGGGGAAGAAAUUGCAUGGGCUAAUACCCUGUGUAGAUGACGGUACCUGGAGAAGAAGCACCGGCUAACUACGUG
rnacentral:rRNA from 1 species